rnacentral:rRNA from 1 species
UACAGAGACGGCAAGCGUUGUUCGGAUUCAUUGGGCGUAAAGGGUCCGUAGGCGGUCGAGCAAGUCGGAUGUGAAAUCCCGCAGCCUAACUGCGGAACGUCAUUCGAAACUGCUCGGCUCGAGGGCUGGAGAGGAGACUGGAAUUGUCGGUGUAGCGGUGAAAUGCGUAGAGAUCGACAAGAACACCGGUGGCGAAGGCGGGUCUCUGGACAGUUCCUGACGCUGAGGGACGAAAGCUAGGGGAGCAAACGGG